UGGUGGUGGGGGCGCGGGGCGACCUCGCCUCACGGAGGCCUCGGCAGCGGUCCCGGGCAGGGCAGAGCGGGCUGAGGCGGGAUCCAUGGGUGGGACAGCGCUUUCGCCUCUGCUUUGGCUUCCGGGCGGUGAGGGAGAAUUCGCGUUAGCCCCCUCCCGCAGCCGAGCGUGAAAACGAGUCGUUUCGGUGCGGACACUGAAGGAACUGUAUGGUUUUAACCGCGGGGCCCUCGUGCGGCCCGUAGCCAUAAUCCCUCCAGUGACCUGGGAAUAAGGAGUAUAAAAGCCUGAUUCGAUGUGAGCGUCAGGCGAGUGACAAAGUGGCCGCUGGAAAUUGCGCUCUGUGCGUGUCAGCCGGUGGCGUUGGACUGCCCUGGCCACACGGCGUUCCCAUCAUGAGAAUUGUCCAGGAGUGGUUACACAGCUCAUUUUGAUACAGUUCCAAACUGGUAGCAAGUGACUUUGCUGUUCCCCACUCGUCCUAAAGUAAUAAGUACAUUGUCAUUUGUAUCCUGUGGAAACCUGUAUCAAAAUCCUUUACCUGUUUUUGGUAACUGCUGGGCUAGUGCUACUGACUACUAUCUCAGGUCCCCCAGCCUGGUGGUCUGCCAGAACUGUACUUACCAAAGCAGAAUUACGUGGAAGAUUGCUGUAGUUCAAGCGGAGUAUAUGUUCACAACACCCUAUGAAAUGAAGCUUUUUGGAGGUAGUAACUAUCAAAUCCAGAGCAGGUUAAAUUUUCUACUAUUACAGAAUUGGAAUAAUUUAUUUGCAAUGACUGGAUCUACAAAUAGUUAUGCCUGGAGCUCCAGUGAUGGCUGAACAGUGCAUGACACAAGGUGGCAGGUGGUACAGCAUAAGGAGAUCAGAAUAGUUCACAGAGGCUGGACUUUACACUCUCUGAUCUUCCUGGUAAGACUUCUUGCCCUGAAUUUCAUCAUUAGAAAUCUCAUUAGCCAACUGUAGGAAAUAGAGAGGGGAGAAAUAACAAUAACUUCUUGUUCCCUACAUGCUCUCCUCCCCAUGUAAGAGAAAUUAAAGUCAAAUGCAACAUAGCAGGAGAUAGUAAAAAAAUUAGAGGUUUUGAAACAAGGAAACUCUAUGUCAACACUCUACUCUAAAAGCAGGGGAGCAAAAUGUAAAACCCUAAACCAAGUCUCAAUUUGCCAUGAUUUGCAAAGGAAAUAAAUUCUUCUCGAAGGUAGAUAAUGAGUACACCAUAGCCCUCAUGGUAAUAUUGGAGUUAUGAAUCAGGUUAUUAGGUUUAUCUUCAAAUUAAUUCUGUGUUCAGGGGAGUUGCAAUAGAAUGGUGGAUUCACUGAGACUUUGGGUGCUCAAAUAAACUUCUAAACUCCAGGAAGCUUGUCCAUAUACUCCAAAUUUAAGGCUUUGCUAGAACUCCUAUUCAAGUAACACUGAUAUUAGAGGUAAUCUUUAGCAAAUGAGAACAUACUGAGCAAUUAUUAUCAGUGGCCCUAAGAUGACACUUUUUUUCAAGAAAUGCCAUUUGAGGAUUUGCAGAUGAUAAUUGAAUAUCUCAAAUAUUUUCUAGCAGCAAAACCAGCACUGCAAGAGGCAUGACUUAAUUUAAAGGAUCAGUUAUUCUUAAUAAUUGAAUUUCAUGAGAUAAUCAUAAAUGUAUAAUCAACAAAAUGCAAAACCAUAAAAUCUGUCAUUGUAGUUAGAAAAUCUGAUUUAAAUGUCAGAAUAAAUGUUGCUUGUGUAACUGAUCAAAUGAAAAGGGAAUAAAAUUAAUUCUUACCCUUUUUUCUGUUAGA